ACGUCAAGUCAUCAUGGUUCUUACGGGUCGGGCUACAAACGUACUACAAUGGUCAUAACAAUGGGUCGCAAUACCGCAAGGUAAAGCUAAUCCUGAAAUAUGGCCUCAGUUCAGAUUGUCCUCUGCAACUCGAGGGCAUGAAGUUGGAAUUGCUAGUAAUCGCGGAUCAGAAUGCCGCGGUGAAUACGUUCCCGGGUCUU
rnacentral:rRNA from 1 species